CUUAUUCUCUCUCCUCCGUUUCUUGUUUUCUCUCGACUAUCUCUCCUCCCUCAAGGUCCUGUACUCUGUUCCAACGAAGACGCUAGGGCGGUGGUGCUCGCCGGAGCAAGAGCAGAAGUUUAUUGCGGUGUAGUUGGUGCGUAAAUUGUAGGUAGCUGCUACUAGAUUCGUUGUUUAAUUGAAGGUAUGGGCGCAAAACACUUCACGAAUUAUGAAUUUAUGUGUAAAUAUUGUAUUUGUGACAUUUUUUUGUUGUUAUGAAGUAUUAGUUUAUGUUAUCUAGGGUUUUCCAGUGAGUUUAGCGAUUUAGGGUUUCCUGUGUUGUUCAUUUGUUUAGUUGGGAAAAUUUUAGUGGGCGUGGUUCUAAAACCCUUAAUUGGAAUGAAUUUGUUGUUAUGAUGUUUUUCUUUAUGUGAUUGGCGGUUAUCCAGUGAAAUUAGCGAAUUAGGGUUUCCUUUGUUGUUCAUCUUUAUAAUUGGAAUUAAUUUGAGAUUGUGAAACCCGUAAUUGGAAUGAAUUUGUUGUUAUGAUGAUUUAUAUUAUGUAAUGCUUUGCUAUCCACUGAAAUAUGCGACCCUUUGUUGUUUAAUUUAAUUUGAAUCCAUGUAAAUGAGUGAUUAAUUGUGAGUUUUUUGUGGUGAAAGACGUAUUGAAUUAUGAAUAAUUGAUACUGUUACAUUAAGAAAUUAUGACUGUUGUGGUAUGUAUAUGUUAAUAUAGUGGAGAAAUUAUAUGUGAAGAGUUAUGGGUUUCUUGAAAUGGUUUUAUGUAGGUGGGAAAUCCCAUUUAUCGAGCGUACAUUUGAACUUGGUAGGAGGAAAUAAUGCCGAGGAAGAGCAAGGGAUCAAGAUUGGCGCGGGCAAAAUUCAUGAAUAAGAAGGCGCCUAAAAAUAAAGUAGCUUGUAAAGGGAAGAAGAAACUGAAAUCUGAUCCAGUUUUUCAGGUAAAGUAUUUAAAGGACUCUGAUGAAGCUGGUUUCGAUGAUGGUGAUUAUGAUGAAUCUAGUGGUGAUGAAUCUGGUUCUGAUGAUGUUGAUUCCACAGCUGGUGAUUAUGAGGUAGAUGAGGAUGCGGAGUACCACAGUGUAGGUAGUGAGGAAGAACCAGAACAGGACAAAGUGAGUUACUAAGAGCUCCUAAGCAAGUUAUUGCGGGAAAAGGUUGAGAAAGGGAAGCGCAAGCGAGGUCAUAUUGAGAAAAGGACAGGAAAAAGGGGCAAGCUAAAGGUCGAGAAGACGAAGGGAGAGGUGGUGAAGGAGAAAGGGGUUUUCGUUAAAACCCAAUCAAGAAGUACGCAGAAGGUACUCUCUGAACAUUAUUUGGUAUCCAUGACAUGGAAAUGUUUGUUGGGAUUUAUGUGGUUGGGCCUUGUUUAGGUAGUUGGAAAAAUGAACUGAAUUACUAAAGAUUUAUUGUAAAUUGUACUUGAGUUGUAAGUUAAGUAUGAAUAUUGUGAGUCCUUAAUUGGAUGUGCAAGAUUAAAAUCCCUUAUAGAAUAUUCACAAGUAAUUUUAAUGGGAUUGUAUAAUUAUUGUCUCUUUAGUUGGUAUAUAUGGAAGGGUAGUUGCUGUAAUUUGUUGUAAUUUAGUUGGAAAUGUAAAAAAUUGAGGUAACCUAGAAAGGAAUUAGUUAGAAUUGAAGAAUUUGAGUAACCUAGAAGGAAUUUAAUCGGUUAGUGGUUUUAUUUUGUGAGGCUUGGGUCGGUGUCAUUUGAUUGAAGUUUGUCUUGUUUGAAUGUAAUGUUGUAGGCCCCAAAUUUGCAUGGUGUGAAGGCUUUUGCAACCGCAUUGAAGAAUUUUGAUGACUCUAGGAAGAAGCUGGUCAUAGAAAUGGGUUUUUGAGGGUUGUUAAGUAUACCCCUAACUUUUGUACCCCGAAAGUUUGUGUACUGGUUGUUGACAAGGGUGAUUGGUGAUGGUUCGUUAACUUUUGGAGAUGAGUGUGUGCUUCCUUUGAGUCCUGUUUAGGUCGAGUACGUACUUGGGAUUGCCAUGGGGUCGAAGGCAUUGCCUUGUACGAUUCCUAAGGAUAAGCAGGAAGAGCACAGUAGAAUUUUGGAAAAGUUUGGGAAAAAUGAUAGCAUUUCAUUAGCAGCUGCUUUGGGGGCACUAAUUCGAAAGGAUGAGGAAGGUAAUGUGUUGCCGCUGUCGGGAUGACGAGAAGGCUGAUUUCAAGAUAGCCUUUCUCAUAGCAGCUCAGGGCUAUUUAUUAUGUGCUACGGAAAAUACAAGCUAUCUUGGGUUGAAGCUUGUUCUGUCAUUAUUUGUUUACGAUGAAGCUGAUGAGUAUGAUUGGUGCACUUAUGUAUUUAACUGGAUGAUUGUAGCAGCUAAGAGUUACCAAAAGAAAUUUGCUCAUGAUGGAUAUGUUGUAGGUUUGGGGGGUUGUAUCCUUUUUUAGUUGGUGAGUAAAAUUGGGUAUUUACCAUCGUACACCAAAAGCUUUUUGAGUAAUUUUAUUAAAUUGUGCAGUGUUAUCGUUUGUAAUGGUUAGUUCAACUAAAUCAUCCAUCCUGUCCUUUUAUUGUAGAUUUUUUAUCUAGAUCACCUAAGUCGCGUCCUAAUGAGGUGAAGUGUGAGACCGAGACAUGAGGCGUUGUCCGAAGAAAAGAUCAAUGAGACGGUUGGCGAUGAUAAAAAAGAAUUUGGGGAUUUCGGAAAAUUGCCAGUUAGUAUUAGUUCGACUUUAAUUUGAUGUGAAUACUGCUGAAGCUGUUGUGUUUGAUUCUUUUGAAGUCUCUAGAUAUAGCAUAUGGGGAGGAGCAUCCGUUGACUCCUCGGGUGGUUCCAAAGCAAAGGGUGGAAAGAGUUGACGUGCAACAGACUACGCAGGAGGUAGACGUGGAAAAUAUUACGCGGCAGGUGUUGGAUAGAAUUACUCUAAAGUUGAUGUCUGUGAUUGACUUGAAAUUAGGUGACGUUAUGAAAUUAGUGCAUUAGUUGAUGUCAUAGUGUGUUGACGUAGCUAAUGCCCAGAGAGUGAUUAGGGGGAAGCCAAUGAAGAGGGAAGUUGUUGUGCAUGAAGAUCAUCCUUUGGGCAGUUGUUUGUUAGAGAAGGAACAACUGAAAAGAAGGUGGGAAAGGACUUGGUGGGGAAGAAAUUAGGCAUGCUGAUGUAGUUUCAAGUGAAGAUGACCUGGACCGUGUGGUACAAAAGAUUUCGGUUGAUCCACUAUUUGCAGAGGCUGGGGGUGAUGUCAAGGUGGUUGGGGAUGAAUCCAAGGUGAAUGGGGUUGAUAAAGGUGUUGUCUUAGAGUUCCAUGGCUGUUGUUCUGAUUCUGAAGUGGAAGAUGAAAAUGUGGUGCCUAGACCUGAAAUAGUUGUGGGCUUGGUUGGGACGAGGGGAACUACUGUGUUGGUUGAUGCUCAGUGCAGUUUAGCAAAUUCAUCUUCAUCUGAUGAGGAAGAUGAGUCCACUGGGAAGGGGGGCAGAACUGCGGAUAAGAGGGUGGUGAAACCUACAGAGGCAGUCUUGUCAACCAUGUACACCAAUGUGCAAACACCCGACGCCAUACAACGGUCGAGGCACGUCUGCUGCAGUUUGUAAAGCGCUGGAAGGACCUGAAGGAUCUACUUAGGUA